AUGGCUGCUGCAUCUGAUGCAAGCUUAACCGCGUCCAUCAACGAGCCUUCAUCCUGUAGCACACAGAAGAGACACGUUUGUAACACAGGUUACUCAGUCACGCUACAGCCUUUGCUUUUCUUCUAUGUAAGGAACUCAAAAAGCAGACGGGACAAUCCUGAGAUAGCUGUGAUCAUCAUCGUCCUUCGUGCUGCUGCUGCUGGUCUGCAUGUCUCUUCAGAAAGAGCAUGGAUCAUUUGGGAAAAACAGAGUGCUGGCAAGUCAGCAGCUCUGAUGACGACGUGGGGUCGCCUCAUACUUUGCUCAGCCCUCAGUUACAUCACUGCUGCUAAAAACAUCCCCAUUGCCUGGUGGAGUCGGUGCUGACAGCUCGCAGGUGGAGUGCAUAUAAGGAGCAGUGAGAUGAAGAAACCUCUGUGAUGUUCAUGCCAAGGAGACUUUGGCUAGUGGGGAAUCUCCUUCCAGAACAGAUUGCAACCACUCUCUUCCCCUGAAAUAGCUGCACACGGUGAACAAGCGAUGAUAGUACUCCUAACUCUCUGACUUCAGAGGACAUUUCUUCCUCAUUGCCCAGCACAGUGUGGGACCGGUUGUCACAAAAGGAUGCCGCGCAUAAAAACUGCUUAGCAUUUUCAUAUAAUAACAGGAAAACCAGAACAGCUUCUCAGGCUAUCGAGGUGCAAUAUCCACACCGGGAAGAGGUUUAGGUUUUCACCGACAGCAUCUGACAGGGGAGAAGGAAGCCGGUGCAGGCUGGGCCGUGGAGGCUCAGUGCUCUGUGCUGUUCCCCGCAGGUGAUGGGCGUAGCGGUGCGGCCGAGAGCCGUCCUGUGCGGCACUGCGCAGGGCCGGAGCAGCUAGCCUGG
rnacentral:lncRNA from 1 species